rnacentral:rRNA from 1 species
AUUGAACGCUGGCGGCAGGCCUAACACAUGCAAGUCGAACGGUAACAGGAAGCAGCUUGCUGCUUUGCUGACGAGUGGCGGACGGGUGAGUAAUGUCUGGGAAACUGCCUGAUGGAGGGGGAUAACUACUGGAAACGGUAGCUAAUACCGCAUAACGUCGCAAGACCAAGGAGGGGGACCUUCGGGCCUCUUGCCAUCGGAUGUGCCCAGAUGGGAUUAGCUAGUAGGUGGGGUAACGGCUCACCUAGGCGACGAUCCCUAGCUGGUCUGAGAGGAUGACCAGCCACACUGGAACUGAGACACGGUCCAGACUCCUACGGGAGGCAGCAGUGGGGAAUAUUGCACAAUGGGCGCAAGCCUGAUGCAGCCAUGCCGCGUGUAUGAAGAAGGCCUUCGGGUUGUAAAGUACUUUCAGCGGGGAGGAAGGGAGUAAAGUUAAUACCUUUGCUCAUUGACAUUACCCGCAGAAGAAGCACCGGCUAACUCCGUG